UACAGAGGGUGCGAGCGUUAAUCGGAAUUACUGGGCGUAAAGCGUGCGUAGACGGCUAUCUAAGUCGGGUGUGAAAGCCCCGGGCUCAACCUGGGAAUUGCAUUCGAGACUGAAUAGCUAGGGUGCGGUAGAGGGAAGCGGAAUUUCCGGUGUAGCGGUGAAAUGCGUAGAUAUCGAGAGGAACACCUGCGGCGAAGGCGGGUAGCUGGGCCGACACUGACGUGAGGCGCGAAAGCUAGGGGAGCGAACGGG
rnacentral:rRNA from 1 species